UGCGAUACUUGGUGUGAAUUGCA
rnacentral:siRNA from 1 species